UAUCCAACCUGCCGUCUACUCUUGGACAGCCUUCUGAAAGGAAGAUUAAUACAAGAUGGCAUCAUGAGUCCGCAUGUUCACAUGAUUAAAGGUAUUCCGGUAGACGAUGGGGAUGCGUUCCAUUAGAUAGUAGGCGGGGUAACGGCCCACCUAGUCUUCGAUGGAUAGGGGUUCUGAGAGGAAGGUCCCCCACAUUGGAACUGAGACACGGUCCAA
rnacentral:rRNA from 1 species